GGGAGGGGAAAUAUCACCCUGAAUGUGCCUUAUCUCCUCUGAUCUCAGAAGCUAAGCAGGGUCAGGCCUGGCUAGAAUUUGAAUCCUGUUUCA
rnacentral:rRNA from 1 species